AACCCAUGGUGAGGGCACCUUCUCAAUAGAUCUUUGUAUUUCUCCCAUGCAUCAUAAAGUGUUUCUAAAUCCAUCUGCACAAACGAAGAGAUAUCAUUCUUUAAUUU
rfam:Gossypium arboreum cultivar AKA8401 contig_3177_3, whole genome shotgun sequence.